ACUCAAAUGAAUUGACGGGGGCCCGCACAAGCGGUGGAGCAUGUGGUUCAAUUCGACGCAACGCGAAGAACCUUACCUAGGCUCGAAAUGCAGGGCAUCGGGGUGGAAACAUCCCUUCCCGCAAGGGGCGCUGCAUAGGUGCUGCAUGGCUGUCGUCAGCUCGUGUCGUGAGAUGUUGGGUUAAGUCCCGCAACGAGCGCAACCCUUAUCGUUAGUUGCUAAGUCGCCGCAAGGCGGCAGCACUCUAGCGAAACUGCCCCGGACAACGGGGAGGAAGGUGGGGAUGACGUCAAGUCCUCAUGGCCUUUAUGUCUAGGGCUACACACGUGCUACAAUGGCCGGUACAAACCGUCGCAAACCCGCGAGGGGGAGCUAAUCGGAGAAAGCCGGCCUCAGUUCGGAUUGGAGUCUGCAACUCGACUCCAUGAAGCUGGAAUCGCUAGUAAUCGCAGAUCAGAACGCUGCGGUGAAUACGUUCCCGGGCCUUGUACACACCGCCCGU
rnacentral:rRNA from 1 species